ensembl:snRNA U6 U6 spliceosomal RNA
GUGCUCACUUCGGCAGCACAUACGCUAAAACUGGAACCUGACAGAGAGGGUUAGCCCGGCCUCUGAGCAAGAAGGACAUGCAAAUUAGGAAAUCGGCCUCAAUUUCG